CUUGAGAGUGUGCGGAGCCUGAUGCGACUGUGUUCGCGUUGUGAAGGCAUUUGGCCGUGUCGAUGAACGCUCUCGGUGAUCUCAGUGAUUUUCAACUCCGCCGAUGUUGCCGGAAAUUGUAAGAAGCCAGUGCAACUUCGACAACUCGUGGGAGUGCGACCGCACGGCGACAAUCGGCAGCGGUGAGCCUCCAUGUGUGCUGGAUCGUCGGGCCCUGGAGUGUGUGCUGUACAGCAGUGAACCAGUGUUGAUAACGGAUUAAAACGGGAGAGGUCGAUACUAAUAACAACGCCAGCAAAGAACACCCGGCUCUCCAGUGCAACUAUAGAGUGGACCGCAGCACCGCGCAAGCAUCUCCUCCAAAUAAGGGGGAAAUCGCUCUGGGAGGUGGCAGCCAAUGCACUGGAACCACUGUGUUAUCGCUGGCCUCAGGGGCCUAGACGAGCCCGCCGUCAUCUGAGCACUGACCAACCAGCCUACCCACGUAAGCGAGCUGCCCUGAAAGCCUUGAACAGCCCACCGACCUCGGCAACUUGCCUCAUCUAAUGUUAUCCACCUAGCUUCACGAGAGGUGGCUCUUUGGCACUUGCUUCUGGCUUGUAAAUAAACUGGUUCAACAUAA